rnacentral:lncRNA from 1 species
ACCGCUCUGAGAGCGAGACUGACCGCCUGCCUAGUUGUAGUCUGCAAGCACAAACCCUGAUCAGUCGUAAAAGAGAGUCUGUACUAUAAGACUACCAUAGGCCAUGUAUUACAGCUGCUCCUGACCUAUAUUGGUACAACCAGUAGGUACCAUGUUGUUGUUGUUUUAGUUUUAAGGGCGUGUGUCAUUCAAUUAUGAAUAUUUACGCCAGUAGGUAGCUGGGCUAGGCUUCUCUCAAGUCACAAUGAUUUUUUGAUGAAGUGUCAAAUUAGGGUCUGUACUUGCAGACUAUCCUAGUUGGGCAAUCCCGAAACACACACAUACACACACACAAUCGCAGCGGUCUAGACAUGCAUAAUUCAGUAGGAAAUCGGGUCUCAUGAAUAUAUAAUUCAGAUCACUUGUCAAGAGGCCCUCGCUCGCGCUCGGUUUCUCUGACUCGCUUCGCUCGCCAGAAUUUACGGACUCCGAAAACUCGAGGGCCAUCGACAACAGGCUAGCCGCGCGAUCGCUAUAGGCGAUUUGCAUGCUAUGCGCGCGCGCAAUACAAAAGUCGUACGUUGAAUUUGAACGCAAAGACGUUUAGGUUGAACGUUCUCACCUUAAAAAUCUAGAGAUUAAUCAUUUGAUUAGUUGCAGCUAAAAAAAGAAUCUGUCGCUCAUUGUGUUUGAAAAAAAUAAAAUCGUUAAAAAACUUGAAAAAUACCGGAAUUUUCUCCCGAAAAUACAAGAAACAAAUACUUAUCUGUGGUUUUAUGUAUGAUGAACAACGCAUGCGCAGUAUUACCAUAACAUGACGGUACAGCGGGAAGUUCGACUAAUGAGUUACGAUAUCCUCAUCAAAUCAUCCGAAAGUCAUUGAGAUAUAGGCCUAUAUAGGUCUAGUUUUCCCCAAGAGAAGCGAUUGAUUAUAUUUGAUUAAUGUCUUCCAGUACUGCAGUAGAUUCUAAUGAUAUUCCCGUGAACCGAUCGCGAGCAAGCAAGAAACCAGCCAGAUACAGCGAUGAUAAAUUGAAGAAUAUGCAUGCACUCGUCGCGUUCACAGUCACACUGGAUAAGAUGAAGAGCUAGUAGAGGUUGGUUUUGAGCAUCAAAGUUCGGAUGGUGGCCGGACAUGAGGAUCCAUGGUUGGGAGGCGUACGAUGAGGCUAACAAGAAGUGGUAGCUUGGCCUUAGCUUGACAGGACCCAAUAUGCACUUGUCGUGUUCAGUCACACUGGAUAAUGUGAAGAGGGUGGUUUUGAGCAGCGAAGUUCGGCAGGUACAUGGCAGGAGGAUGAAGAUCGAUGGAUGGAAGGCGUACGAUGAGGCUAAAAAGAAGUGCAAUUCAUUGCGAGAAGAUCAAAGGGGACCGGACACAAAUCAGCUGAAUUUUGGCAGGCUCUGAGACUGAGAGUAAAGAUGGAGGGAAUCAAAUAUAAGGCUAAAAAUAUGUUAAUCUUCUUCAGAACGCACAAUGUAGAUUUCGACCAAACUUGGCAGGAGUCAUCCCUUAAAACCGCUGAGGUGUAACGUGUCUUUAUACACACCAGUGACACCACGCUACAAAGCUAGGCUACAACAGACGAUGACGUAGUAUUUUCCUUACCCGUGUGGCACUUACGUCUAGGGUGAGUUGCGUAGGAAUAUUUGUGUUAUGUAUUCAAUAAUAUUGAUCGGAGUCAAGACUGUUUGAUAUCUAUACAUGUAUUUAAAGAUAGUAUUGAAUACUACGUAUUUAUUUCUUGGUGUGUUAAUUGAAUUUCAAUGUAUAUGAACUGAACCUUUGAAAACUGUAUUUGUCUACAGAAAUCUGAUCACAAUCAAUAAUGAUGACUUGCAUGAUUUCAUUAUGUGAUUAUGUACUUAUGAUGCUUUUGUUUUAUCUUCUGUACAAGGGCAGGGGUUUCCGUUUUUUUAUUUUAAAAAACGAAUAGACUUCAUUGAACUCGGCGUCCCAUAUUCUUCAUUUCGUUUGGCUAUGAUUUAAAACGGUGGAGCACGCGUCCCACACCGCCAAGCAGGGACCUUCAGAAUCCUUGCUGGAAUGGGCGGACCAAUUGCACCGGCUAGCAUCCCGGGCAUUAGGGACUUUUAGAUUUGCACGUCAACA